rnacentral:rRNA from 1 species
UCAACCUACGGGGGGCAGCAGUGGGGGAUAUUGCACAAUGGGGGAAACCCUGAUGCAGCGACGCCGCGUGGGUGAAGAAGCGCCUCGGCGCGUAAAGCCCUGUCAGCAGGGAAGAAAAUGACGGUACCUGAAGAAGAAGCCCCGGCUAACUACGUGCCAGCAGCCGCGGUAAUACGUAUGGUGCAAGCGUUAUCCGGAUUUACUGGGUGUAAAGGGAGCGCAGGCGGCACGGCAAGCCUGAUGUGAAAGCCCGGGGCCCAACCCCGGGACUGCUCUUGGAACUGCGUGGCUGGAGUGCAGGAGGG